rnacentral:lncRNA from 1 species
AUAAAUUGUAUGUUUUAUAAGUUGAGUCCUUAAGAAUUCUCUAUGAGAAUCUAAAAAGCGUAGACCUCCAGGGGCUGGAGAGAAACUCAGAGGGUAACAGCACUGACUGCUCUUCCAGAGGUCCUGUGCACUCAUAUAUAAAAUACAGUGUUAAAAAUGUGGACUUCCUGUGGGUAGGAGGAAGUGCUGGACUGUUGGAGUUUGUGAGUGAGGAGCAGUGCCGAGGAGCUGGAACUUCUUCCUUUACAGGUUCUUGCUAGCUGGAGGAAGAGCUGAGCGGAGAGGCCCAUCGGUGACAAGGUGGCCAUUAGUUCAACCUGUUGUCUUUCUCUCCUCUGCAGCUCUUAGAACAAGCCCUGGUGAUCGAGGAGCAGCUGCGAAGGGCGGCUUACCUGAACAUGUCAGAGGACCCCUCUCAUCCGUCUAUGGCCCUUAACACCCGUUUUGCUGAGGUGGAGUGUUUGGCAGAAAGUCACCAGCACCUGUCCAAGGAGUCGAUGGCAGGAAAUAAGCCAGCCAAUGCAGUCUUACACAAAGGUCGCCAGUGGCUCCCCUGCCUCCUGCUCCCUCAGCCUUCCUCUCCACUCUCCCCUCCCCAACAUCCAUAAACGUCUAUUUCCAAACUGUUCUCCGAGCCUGUUUGGAACCAUGGAGUGUGGGCUAAGGAUCUUCACCUUGCAGGCAGUCAAGGACAGCAGUUUUCUCUUUGAACUCUAAAUCUGUUCAGGUUUUGAGCAUAACGUUGUGAGGGGGUGGAGGGUGAGAUGAGGAAAAGGUGGGUGUCACAAAGGUAGCGGGGGCAUCUGGGAUGUAAA